CCAGUACCAACAACAAAAGAAAUUAUAACAAAUUAAAUCAAAUGGGGCUGGGGAUGUGGCUCAAGCGGUAGCGCGCUCGCCUGGCAUGCAUGCCGCCCGGGUUCGAUCCUUAGCACCACAUACAAACAAAGAUGUUGUGUCCGCCGAAAACUAAAAAACAAGUACUAAAAAUUCUCUCCCCCCGACUCUCUCUCUCUCUCUCUCUCUCUCUCUCUCUAAUAAAUAAAUAAAUAAAAUGAUUCACUUGAAAUAACAUUGUAAGACUGGGAAUGUAGUGCAGUGAUAGAGCACUUGCCUAGCAUAUUUGAGGCCUUAGGUUCAGUCCCCAAUACCAUAAAAAUUAAGAUUGUCAAACUGGAUUAAAUACAGCUAUGUAGUGUUUAUAAAAAUCAUCCAGAACAUCAUGUGUAAACACACACCUAUUAUCCUAGCUCCUCCGGAGGUUGAAGCAGGAAGAUUACAAGUUUGAGGCCAGCCUUGGCAACUUGACAAGUCCUUAUUUCAAAACAAAUAGGGCUGAGGAUGUAACUCAGUGCUUGCCUAGCAUGCUCAGCCCCGAGUUCAAUCUCCAGUGCCACGAAAAACAAACAACAAAAAAACCCUCCAGCCAGGUAUAAUGGCACACAAACCUGUAAUCCUGGAGCUCAAUAGGCUGAGGCAGGAGAAUCAUAAGCUCUAGGCCAGUCUAAGCAAUUUACUAAGACCCUGUCUCAGAAUAAUAUUUUAAAACGGCUUGGGAAUGUAGCUCGGUGGCAAAGUACCACUGUGUUGAUCCCCAGUGCCAGACAAUGAAAAAAAUCCUGUAAAACUUAAAGCUACUAAAAAUUGACUUGGGGUCACAGUACAUACUGGGCAUUGAACCCAGGAUCACUUUACUACUGAGCUACAUCACCAGGUCUUUUUUUUAUUCAAGUGUGUGUGUGUGUGUGUGUGUGUGUGUGAAAAUAUGCAAAAUGAAACGUAUAUUUUAGGAAUUCAGAGGGUCAUAGCCAAUAGCCAACAACCCUUCUAACAAAAAAUGGUUAGCAAGAAAAAAAGCAUAACAGAUUUAUAUGAGGAUAGUUUUAUAGUGAACCAAGCCUUCAAAUUAAAGAUACAAAUGGUAAACUAUCCAUUUUUUUUUUGCUUAGGUUCAGUGAACCAUGGACAUCCUUGUAGAACUGUGGUUGGACAAAAAGAAUGAUCAAACAGUAAUAAAUGAGGGAGGUAGGGGGAACCUAGCAAGGCUUGUCUGUUCAGAUUCUUCUUGGCCUCUUUGAGCAACAUUCUUUCCUUCCAAAUAUGGAGCAACACCUUUUCCAGAUGGAGAUAUUAUGACCUACUCAAAUAUGUAACUGAGAAUUUUUUUUUCUUUGCUAAUAUAUGUUUAGGUUUUAUGAUUGACUUUGGGGAAAACAAGGGUUCUGGUUACUGUGAUCUGUCUUAGGGAAGGGGAAUUCUAGUUUCUAAGGCCUUCAUUGAAGGAGAAUUGCGGAAUAAGAAACAGGAGGACAAGAAGAGAAAAUUAUUGCUUUUGAGACCUUUACUUUGGGGUAUCAUUUUCAGAGACUCAACGUUAGAAAGACAUGUAAUUCGGUAGCUAUUAACUUCUGAAGAGAAAAGAAGAGAUAAGAUUAGGGAGAAUUAAGAACAGGAUUUUUUUUUUUUUUUAGUUGUGGAUGGACAUAAUACCUUUAUUAUUUGUUUUUAUUUUUAUGUGGUUCCGGGCAUCAAACCUAGUGCCUCACGCAUGCUAGACAAGCGCUCUACUACUGAGCCACAACCCCAGCCCCAAGAACAGGUUUUAAAGGUAA
rnacentral:lncRNA from 1 species